GAAAGUCCUUUGUUAAGAGGCUUUUGGGUUGGUCCUUGUGGACGUGUGGCAGCGUCGGAUUGGUCACUGCAACCUCAUCCUUUCCAUCUUGUUUCUGAGUAGCGAAACCUGUCUUGUUCUUCUUUCCAUCUUCUUCCUUCUUCUCUAUUUGCCAAAUCGAUCGGUCAGUGCAACUGGUUAAGCUCAAGCUGAACCUUAUCAAACACUUCUACAGAGUUAAAGUUCUGAUCGAGUCUCUUAUAGUUUACCUCAAAACCCAUCUCGAUCCCAACUUCUCAGGUUCAAUUAAAAGACCUUACUUUAUAACGAAGAACGUUCCCAAUUCAAAGCAUGUACCUUUAGACUAGUGUGAUAAUGACUGUAAUCGUAGAAAAGGAUUUGUUUUUUUAGCUGUUAGUGUGAUUUAGUAAGAAAAGGUUAGAACUUUAGUGGAAAUGGGUAAUAAGCUAGUGGGAAGGAGAAGGCAAGUGGUGGAAGAAAAGUAUACAAAGCCACAGGGUUUGUAUGUAAACAGAGAUGUGGACAUUAAAAAGCUUAGGAAACUGAUUCCACAACUGGUACUAAUGUUGGUCGUGAGGGUCAUCGACGCGAGGACCGAUGGUGAAGACGGUGGGGAUGACGAAAGGGAGUUUCUCAGAACUCAUGCUGGACCUCGAAGGUGUAGUUGACAGGAAAAACGUCGAAGACGGUGCAAGACUGUCAUGGAAAGACCCAUGACUUCUUGGCGAGCUUGAUGUCCUUGAUCCCACCACCGGUGAUGGAGAGGUACUCCGAUGCUCUUGCGACUUUGUAACUCAUACUUCUUCUUUGAGAUUUGUUAGGUUUUGUUUGUGUAUCUGCGUGUACAGAGAGAGAUAUCAUAUGUUACUUAGAUGGAAGCAGCUAACCAGUGGAGGUCGAAAGUAAUCGAAAGGGAAGACACUUGUCUUGUUACUUGUUCUCAUUCUAUGGUUGUUUUCAUGUUCUUGUCUUAAUAUAUCAUUUAAUCUACAUGUGCUUGUUUCAAGUUCCAUCUCAAA